GAUGAACGCUGGCGGCGUGCCUAAUACAUGCAAGUCGAGCGAACAGACGAGGAGCUUGCUCCUCUGACGUUAGCGGCGGACGGGUGAGUAACACGUGGAUAACCUACCUAUAAGACUGGGAUAACUUCGGGAAACCGGAGCUAAUACCGGAUAAUAUAUUGAACCGCAUGGUUCAAUAGUGAAAGACGGUUUUGCUGUCACUUAUAGAUGGAUCCGCGCCGCAUUAGCUAGUUGGUAAGGUAACGGCUUACCAAGGCAACGAUGCGUAGCCGACCUGAGAGGGUGAUCGGCCACACUGGAACUGAGACACAGUCCAGACUCCUACGGGAGGCAGCAGUAGGGAAUCUUCCGCAAUGGGCGAAAGCCUGACGGAGCAACGCCGCGUGAGUGAUGAAGGUCUUCGGAUCGUAAAACUCUGUUAUUAGGGAAGAACAAAUGUGUAAGUAACUAUGCACGUCUUGACGGUACCUAAUCAGAAAGCCACGGCUAACUACGUG
rnacentral:rRNA from 1 species